rnacentral:tRNA from 1 species
UGUCCGGUCGGCUAACGGUAGGACACGUGCCUUUGGAGCCCGUUGUGGAGGUUCGAAUCCUCCCCGGCCAGCCA